UACGAAGGGGGCUAGCGUUGCUCGGAAUCACUGGGCGUAAAGCGCACGUAGGCGGCUUUUUAAGUCAGGGGUGAAAUCCUGGAGCUCAACUCCAGAACUGCCUUUGAUACUGAGAAGCUUGAGUCCGGGAGAGGUGAGUGGAACUGCGAGUGUAGAGGUGAAAUUCGUAGAUAUUCGCAAGAACACCAGUGGCGAAGGCGGCUCACUGGCCCGAUACUGACGCUGAGGUGCGAAAGCGUGGGGAGCAACAGGG
rnacentral:rRNA from 1 species